rnacentral:rRNA from 1 species
GACGAACGCUGGCGGCGUGCUUAACACAUGCAAGUCGAACGGUAAGGCCCUUCGGGGUACACGAGUGGCGAACGGGUGAGUAACACGUGGGUGAUCUGCCCUGCACUUCGGGAUAAGCUUGGGAAACUGGGUCUAAUACCGGAUAGGACCACUGCCUGCAUGGGUGGUGGUGGAAAGCUUUUGCGGUGUGGGAUGGGCCCGCGGCCUAUCAGCUUGUUGGUGGGGUGAUGGCCUACCAAGGCGACGACGGGUAGCCGGCCUGAGAGGGUGACCGGCCACACUGGGACUGAGAUACGGCCCAGACUCCUACGGGAGGCAGCAGUGGGGAACAUUGCACAAUGGGCGCAAGCCUGAUGCAGCGACGCCGCGUGAGGGAUGACGGCCUUCGGGUUGUAAACCUCUUUCAGCACCGACGAAGCGCAAGUGACGGUAGGUGCAGAAGAAGGACCGGCCAACUACGUGCCAGCAGCCGCCGUAA